AGCGAACGCUGGCGGCAGGCCUAACACAUGCAAGUUGAACGAACCCUUCGGGGUUAGUGGCGGACGGGUGAGUAACACGUGGGAACGUGCCUUUAGGUUCGGAAUAACUCAGGGAAACUUGUGCUCAUACCGAAUGUGCCAUUCGGGGGAAAGAUUUAUCGCCUUUAGAGCGGCCCGCGUCUGAUUAGCUAGUUGGUGAGGUAAUGGCUCACCAAGGCUACGAUCAGUAGCUGGUCUGAGAGGAUGACCAGCCACAUUGGGACUGAGACACGGCCCAAACUCCUACGGGAGGCAGCAGUGGGGAAUCUUGCGCAAUGGGCGAAAGCCUGACGCAGCCAUGCCGCGUGGAUGAUGAAGGUCUUAGGAUUGUAAAAUCCUUUCACCGGUGAAGAUAAUGACUGUAGCCGGAGAAGAAGCCCCGGCUAACUUCGUGCCAGCCGCCGCGGUAAGAC
rnacentral:rRNA from 1 species